CCUGGGGCGGGGCGGACCCUGGACGGACCGUGGCACCGCCCCACUCCGGCCGCGACAGACACCCGGCCACCCUCGCUAGGACUCGGGCGAGAGAUACAGUCGCGGGGUCAGCGCGUCCGCCCUGGCGCUGCCCGCGGAGGGGCUGGCGGCGACUGUCCUACCGCCUGGCGGGACGGAGGCCACCCACCUCCCUCCCAGGAGAUGAGGAGAGAUUUUCAGAGACGCUAAAGUUUUGCAGUUUGUCUGGUGCCUGUGUGACUCCUGUCCCUGCUGCCGCGAGACGUUUCCAGAACCCACGCCCUCUUCUCCCAGGAACCUACUCAGAGGACCACGCUGAGAACUCACCUCCGUUACUUGAGACCCUGGGGCCCCAGGAAAAAAUUCCUUUGAUGAAGAUUCCAAGAUGAAGACCAAAGGCUCUGCCUCAGCCUCCAGCCAACUGGAGGGCCAGCCCAGCGUCCUGCUCCUGCUCCGGUCCAGCUCCCUUACUUCACAACCAAAGAAAAACUGCAUCCGGGAGACACAUAGGGUCUGAGCUACCACAACAGGCAACUCAGUGAGGCCUGAGGAGCAGAGGAAAGAGACUUGCAAUAUGGAGAAGGGCCAAGGGCAGAGAAGCGUGAAGGGGCAUUGCAGGGCGAGGAAGCAGCAGGUGCCAAGCAGGAGGUGAGUGAGGGCCCAGCACUUCAGCAUCGAUGUCUGCACCCCCUCUAAUGGGGAUCUCUCUGAGGGCAGGGCUAGGGUCCAUCCUGUUCACGGUUAAAUGCCCAGCACCUAGCAGUGUCCCUGUCACCUGGUCAGCCUCCAUGAAUAUUUCUGAGAAAAUGAAUUAAGAACUCUAGUUAGUGACUACCUUCUUUGGGCUAGUCAUUGUGUGAAAGUGUCUCUAAUCUUCACCAGAACCCUGGGAGGUAGGUGUUAUCCAUACCAUUUUACAAAUGGGGAAACUGACGCUCGGAAAGGGGAAUCGAAUGUUCAAAAUCAUGCAGUGAGUCUGCGUGGGUCCUCUGGCCCUGGAACUGCGACUUGCUGGGAAGGAAGGCCCUGCUGAGUUCCCGGAGUGAUGACUGAGCCGUAGCGUGGGGACCCACACUGCGGCUCCGGUUACACAGGGCUGGGCCUGCUCCAGCAGCCUUGUCUUGCUUGCUCUCUGGACUUCUGUGUUGGCCUGGACCGUCCUGCCUCCCUCACCAAUUGGGAACCAUCCUCCUCAGGUUACCCGGGCAGGGGCCAGGCCUCUGAUGCCAAAUGCAGCCUAGAAGCUCUGGCUCUUGGCGUGCCAGGGUGCAGGCACCCAGGGAGGCAGCCCAGGAGACAGGAAGCCUGGUCUAGACCUGGGCAAGCCUCUGUUCCACCUCCCCACCAGCAAGUCCAGCUGCAUAGUUUGUGGGACCCAGGGUGAAACGA
rnacentral:lncRNA from 1 species